rnacentral:rRNA from 1 species
GAGUUUGAUCGUGGCUCAGGAUGAACGCUGGCGGCGUGCCUAAUACAUGCAAGUCGAGCGAACGGACGAGAAGCUUGCUUCUCUGAUGUUAGCGGCGGACGGGUGAGUAACACGUGGAUAACCUACCUAUAAGACUGGGAUAACUUCGGGGAAACCGGAGCUAAUACCGGAUAAUAUUUUGAACCGCAUGGUUCAAAAGUGAAAGACGGUCUUGCUGUCACUUAUAGAUGGAUCCGCGCUGCAUUAGCUAGUUGGUAAGGUAACGGCUUACCAAGGCAACGAUGCAUAGCCGGCCUGAGAGGGUGAUCGGCCACACUGGAACUGAGACACGGUCCAGACUCCUACGGGAGGCAGCAGUAGGGAAUCUUCCGCAAUGGGCGAAAGCCUGACGGAGCAACGCCGCGUGAGUGAUGAAGGUCUUCGGAUCGUAAAACUCUGUUAUUAGGGAAGACAUAUGUGUAAGUAACUGUGCACAUCUUGACGGUACCUAAUCAGAAAGCCACGGCUAACUACGU